rnacentral:ncRNA from 1 species
UCUGGAUAUGGGAUUAAAAGGGAACCGGGUGGAAAUCCCAGACAGACCACGCUGCUGUGAAACUUCGGGAACAUACCGGCAAUACUCUAUGCCACUGAUCGGGGGAUCGGGAAGGUGUCCGGGAUGGAAGUAAGUCAGAAGACCUGCCGUUUCGGUU